UAUUAGGCUGGUGCAGAAGUAAUUGCGGUUUUUGCCAUUACUUUUAAUUUUUGCCAUUAAAAGUAAUGGCAAAACCACGAUUACUUUUGCACUAGCC
rnacentral:miRNA from 1 species